CUUUCAUGCUGUGGAAGCUUUGUUCUUUUGCUCUUCACAAUAAAUCUUGCUGCUGCUCACUCUUUGGGUCUGCAUUACCUUUAAGAGCUGUAACACUCACUGCAAAGGUCUGUGGCUUCACUCCUGAAGUCAGUGAGACCACGAAACUACUGGGAGGAACAAACAACUCUGGAUGUGCCACCUUUAAAAGCUGUAACGCUCACUGGGAAGGUCUGCAGCUUCACUCCUGAAGUCAGUGAGACCACAAACGCACUGGAAGGAAGAAACUCGACACAUCUGAACAACUGAAGGAAAAAACUCCAGACACACCAUCUUUAAGAACUGUGACACUCACCAUGAGGGUCCGCAGCUUCAUUCUUGAAGUCAGCAAGGCCAGGAACCCACCAGAAGGAAUCAAUACUGGACACAUUUUGGCGAUCACGAAGGGACUAUUGCCUAUCGCUAAGCGUUAAGGUGGUAGGAGUGGAAUCUUGGAUUCACCACACCCAAGUCAAAUUUUUGACACCCCCUGAGGAACCUGCGGGACCGUCAGCUCAGGAGUCCCAAGAUCAGCCAGACCAGCCUCAAUACACCUGCGAACCAUUGGAGGACUUGCAUCUCCUAUUUCAGAAGGAAACAUCCCAGACUAAAAAGGCUCCUACCACUGAUCCUGAAGAAAAACCCCAUCCUCCUUAAAAAAGAUAAGUGAAAACCUACACAAUCUUUAUCUUUACCACCUCUCCUUGCCCCUUUAAUGGAAUCCUUUUACUAUUUCAUUAUAUUAUUAAGCAGCAUACUAACCAUACUAUAUACUAUAGCUCCUGCCAGGACAAAAAUAAAAUAGAACACAGGGAGCCACUCAGUUUGCCCCCAACACCCCUUUCCAGCCACUCACCGGGGCUACCUUGGCAAGUACUCUAGGAGUAUGGGAAAAUGAAAACAACAAACUCACACACCUUUUUAACAUAUACAACAAGUUCUGUCUACCCAGCCAAGGUAUAUUCUUCUUAUGUGGAACAUCGACCUAUAUCUGCCUCCCCACUAACUGGACAGGCACCUGCACCUUAGUCUUUCUAGGUCCCAACAUUAACAUUGCCCCAGGAAAUCAGACCCUAUCAGUACCCCUCAAAGCUCAAGUCUGUCAGCGCAGAGCCAUACAACUAAUACCCCUACUUAUACAGUUAGUAAUGGCUACUGCUACAGGAACCGGAAUAGCCAGUUAAUCUACUUCAUUAUCCUACUACCACACACUCUCAAAGGAUUUCUCAGACAGUUUGCAAGAAAUAACGAAAUCUAUCCUUACUCUACGAUCCCAAAUAGACUCUUUGGCAGCAGUAACUCUCCAAAACGGCUGAGGCCUAGACCUCUUCACUGCUGAGAGAGGAGGACUCUGCACCUCUUAGGGGAAGAGUGUUGUUUUUACACUAACCAGUCAGGGAUAGUAUGAGGUGCUGCCCGGCAUUUACAGGAAAAGGCUUCUGAAAUCAGACAAUGCCGUUCAAACUCAUACUAACCUCUGGAGUUAGGCAACGUGGCUUCUCCCCUUUCUAGGUCCCAUGGCAGCCAUCUUGCUAUUACUCACCUUCAGGCCCUGUAUUUUUAACCUCCUUGUCAAAUUUGUUUCCUCUGGGAUCAAGGCCGUCAAGCUACAGAUGGUCUUACAAAUGGAACCCCAAAUGAGCUCAACUAACAACUUCUACC
rnacentral:lncRNA from 10 species